UCUCCACAUGCUGUCCAUCCAUCCAGGCCU
rnacentral:piRNA from 1 species